rnacentral:rRNA from 1 species
GGAUGCGAUCAUACCAGCACUAAAGCACCGGAUCCAUCAGAACUCCGCAGUUAAGCGUGCUUGGGCGAGAGUAGUACUAGGAUGGGUGACCCCCUGGGAAGUCCUCGUGUUGCAUCCU